GAUGAAGAUUUCCAUUUUGAAACGGCAUUAUAAGACGAAGCAUAGGAAUUUUGAAGAGACAUUUCUCAAAAUUCAGAGGUGUCCUCCAAACAAGUUCAGAUGCCUCAGAUUAACUCCUAGAGCAUCCAGCAUUUCAAGCAGGUAUCAGGAAGAGAGCGACUUCAUUGACAUCAGACUGGGUUGAACGCCUGAAUAAUCCUACUGACUUGAGAUGCCUGCACAGCAUUGACAUACUCGUAUAUGAACUCACUUCUGAGCAUGCAGUGUCUCAAACCGAAAAGGAAAUAGAAGCAGAUGAACUUUGGUAGUGCCAUCAUUGCCCUCUCUUCCAUCCCAACUCAUAAUUUCAAGAUCUGUACCUCAGUAUAAUCUCUUCUGCAGCUGUAAAUGUUCUGGCUUCACUCUCAGGGAGCUGUUUUGCCGAAGCAUCUUCCUCUACAGUCUACAGUCUGUCAAUAAAACAAAAACAAA